rnacentral:lncRNA from 1 species
UUUAUACAUGCAUGAUGAGUUUAUAACUUGUUUUGUUAUAUGCUAUAUGAAAUGCUUUAUUUUGUAUUAUCUGUUAUUUUCUAAAUAUUGCAUUAUCAUGAAAAACUUAUGCUUGAUCCGAUAAGGAAGCGCAAGUUCUACUUACUGGGCUAGUGUAGCUCAUAUUCUUUUUGUUUUCUUUUUGUUUGAACAGAGAAAUAAGGUUAGGAUCGGCAAAAGGAAUCCAAACUUGAAGAUCGGCAUAGCAAGCUUGAAAAUUUGACAGCCGAAGUUUAAUUUAUUUUAUAAUCAUGGAUUUGUAGUUAUUUAUGAAUGUUGAGAUUCGGAUUAGUACUUGCUUUUGGAUUUAGAUGCUCUGAACCAAUAUUGGUUCGAU